UACGAAGGGGGCUAGCGUUGCUCGGAAUCACUGGGCGUAAAGGGUGCGUAGGCGGGUCUUUAAGUCAGGGGUGAAAUCCUGGAGCUCAACUCCAGGACUGCCUUUGAUACUGAGGACCUUGAGUACGGGAGAGGUGAGUGGAACUGCGAGUGUAGAGGUGAAAUUCGUAGAUAUUCGCAAGAACACCAGUGGCGAAGGCGGCUCACUGGCCCGUAACUGACGCUGAGGCACGAAAGCGUGGGGAGCAAACAGG
rnacentral:rRNA from 1 species